rnacentral:rRNA from 1 species
AGAUUGAACGCUGGCGGCAGGCCUAACACAUGCAAGUCGAGCGGUAGAGAGGUGCUUGCAUCUCUUGAGAGCGGCGGACGGGUGAGUAAUGCCUAGGAAUCUGCCUAGUGGUGGGGGAUAACGUUCGGAAACGGACGCUAAUACCGCAUACGUCCUACGGGAGAAAGCGGGGGACCUUCGGGCCUCGCGCCAUUAGAUGAGCCUAGGUCGGAUUAGCUAGUUGGUGAGGUAAUGGCUCACCAAGGCGACGAUCCGUAACUGGUCUGAGAGGAUGAUCAGUCACACUGGAACUGAGACACGGUCCAGACUCCUACGGGAGCAGCAGUGGGGAAUAGUUGGACAAUGGGCGAAAGCCUGAUCCAGCCAUGCCGCGUGUGCGAAGAACGGUCUUCGGAUUUAGAAAGCACUUUAAGUGGAAGUAAGGUUGUUAAACGUUUAAUACGUUGACUAACGUUUGAACGUUACCGACAGAAUAAGCACCG